CCCCCCCCACCCCCCCCACCCUCCCCGCCUCCCCCCGUGAUGGCCACGGCGAUGUCGGUGUCGGCGGUGUCCCCGGCCGCCGCCGCCGUUGCGCGGCCGCGGACGCUCGUCUGCGUGCCGGCGAUGGCGCGGGCGCCGCGCGAGAUGGUGGCGGAGCUGGCCACCGCCGCCGCGCUCGGCGCCGACGUCGCGGAGCUCCGCCUCGACCGCCUCGCCGGGUUCGCGCCGCGCAGGGACCUGCCCGUCAUCCUCGCCGAGCCGCGCCCGCUCCCCGCGCUCGUCACCUACAGACCCAAGUGGGAAGGUGGCGAAUACGAAGGUGAUGAUGAGCCACGGUUCGAGGCGCUUAUGCUGGCAAUGGAGCUGGGAGCUGAAUACGUUGAUAUUGAGCUCAAGGUUGCCGACAAAUUUAUGAGACUUCUGUCUGGGAAGAAACCUGAAAAUUGUAAGCUCAUUGUUUCAUCCCAUAACUACGAGAAUACUCCAUCAGCUGAGGAGCUUGCAAAUUUGGUGGCUCAGAUAAAAGCAACAGGGGCAGAUAUAGUGAAAAUUGCUACCACUGCCACUGACAUUGUUGAUGUGGCAAGAAUGUUUCAAAUACUUGUACAUUGCCAAGAAAAGCAGGUGCCAAUCAUUGGGCUGGUGAUGAAUGACAGAGGUUUUAUUUCUCGAGUUCUUUGCCCAAAAUAUGGUGGAUACCUUACUUUUGGGUCUCUCGAAAAAGGAAAAGAAUCCGCAGCUGCACAACCAACAGUCGCUGACUUGAUUAAUGUGUACAAUAUCAGGCAAAUAGGCCCAGACACUAAGGUGUUUGGCAUUAUUGGAAAGCCAGUUGGUCACAGCAAGAGCCCAAUUUUGCAUAACGAAGCUUUCAGAUCUGUGGGGUUCAAUGCUGUGUAUGUGCCCUUUUUGGUGGAUGACUUGGCUAAAUUUCUCAACACAUACUCUUCACCAGACUUUGCUGGCUUCAGUUGCACAAUUCCCCAUAAGGAAGCUGCAGUUAGGUGCUGUGAUGAAGUCGAUCCUAUUGCCAGGGACAUAGGAGCUGUUAAUACAAUGGUGAGAAGACCUGAUGGAAAACUUGUUGGCUACAAUACUGAUUAUGUCGGUGCUAUUUCUGCUAUCGAGGAUGGAAUAAGAGCAUCACAAGAUCCUUCCACUUCCCCACUGGCUGGAAGGCUUUUCGUUGUUAUCGGGGCUGGUGGUGCGGGCAAAGCCCUAGCAUAUGGUGCAAAAGAGAAGGGAGCAAGAGUUGUAAUUGCAAACCGUACUUUUGCACGUGCUCAAGAACUUGCCAACUUAAUUGGUGGGCCUGCAUUGACUCUGGCCGAUUUGGAAAAUUACCAUCCGGAGGAAGGGAUGAUUCUUGCAAAUACAACAGCCAUUGGAAUGCAUCCAAAUGUCAAUGAUACUCCUUUAUCUAAGCAAGCACUAAAAUCAUAUGCCGUUGUCUUUGAUGCGGUCUACACACCAAAAGAGACCAGACUUCUCCGUGAAGCCGCAGAAUGUGGAGCCACAGUUGUUAGUGGGCUGGAGAUGUUUAUAAGACAAGCAAUGGGUCAAUUUGAGCAUUUCACGGGCAUGCCAGCUCCAGAUAGGUUGAUGCGUGAUAUUGUUCUGACAAAGACAUAGUAAGGUCUGUCCAAGGAGCAACCUUCCCUUCCAUCUUAAUUUCUACAAGAUUGGUUCCAGUUUUGACGAUGAUAAAUUCCGAGCAAUUACAAGUUCGCUGGACAACCCUAACACCAUGAAGCCUCGUCUGUGAGCGAUUCAUCCAUGCUUCUGUGGCCCUUCAAUUUUUGUUUAUGUUUCCUUCUAUAUUUGGAUUUCAGCAACCGGUUUGCUGGUCAGCCGAUGUAAAUGAGAUGUUUGGACUGAGAUAUUUUUGUGUGUUAUUUGUAUCUGCCCAAAAAUUGCUUUCCCCAACUGUGCACAUCAAAGGAAAUUAGGAAGGCUUUUGCAAGGGGUUUUGUAGUAGAAAAUCAUGAGGCAGUAAUGGAAAUGAAGUAUGGUAUGCUCCAUUGCUCCCA